rnacentral:rRNA from 1 species
GGCGGGAUUGCCUUAGUAACGGCGAAGUGAAGCGGCAAAAGCUCAAAUUUGAAAUCUGGUACCUUCGGUGCCCGAGUUGUAAUUUGGAGAGGGCAACUUUGGGGCCGUUCCUUGUCUAUGUUCCUUGGAACAGGACGUCAUAGAGGGUGAGAAUCCCGUGUGGCGAGGAGUGCGGUUCUUUGUAAAGUGCCUUCGAAGAGUCGAGUUGUUUGGGAAUGCAGCUCUAAGUGGGUGGUAAAUUCCAUCUAAAGCUAAAUAUUGGCGAGAGACCGAUAGCGAACAAGUACAGUGAUGGAAAGAUGAAAAGAACUUUGAAAAGAGAGUGAAAAAGUACGUGAAAUUGUUGAAAGGGAAGGGCAUUUGAUCAGACAUGGUGUUUUGUGCCCUCUGCUCCUUGUGGGUAGGGGAAUCUCGCAUUUCACUGGGCCAGCAUCAGUUUUGGUGGCAGGAUAAAUCCAUAGGAAUGUAGCUUGCCUCGGUAAGUAUUAUAGCCUG